rnacentral:lncRNA from 1 species
AUCAGAUUUUCUUUAUCUUUGCUUUAAUUUUAUUUAACCAGAAGUUUAGUGAAUAUUAUAAGACUUACUGAACAAAGGUUUGAUAAAAGUUGAAAAUCAAACACUUCAAUAUUGUAGGAACUAUCAUUACCCUUUGAACAUGAAUGUGUAUAUGUCUGCGUAUGUGCGAAUACAUAUGUAAAUACUUAUGCAAACUAGCUCACUAGAAAUUGAGAUCUAAAUAAUUAGGAAUUUUUCUUUGAAAGUUUUAAGUUUGGCUACAAACAUAUAAAAUAUUCAACAGUCCACAGUCAAGGACAAUGAUUCUCCGACUUUGAAAUUGUGAUUAUUAAACAUUUCAGAAUAUGUUUAAUAAAAUACUUUUUUUCUAUUUUAAAAAUAAUUUAUUUCAGGUUGUAUAUUGUUUUGUGGAACACCAUAUUUUAAAUGAACUUCUAAUUUUGAACAUUUUGUACGCUCUUAGUUAAGGUUACAGAGAUUCACACUUAAGAAACACUGAUCUAAAUAUUCAAAUACUUAAGUGUUAAGGUAUAACACUUAAAUAAUAUCAAGAAAUAUAUUGUAUGUUCUCAAAUAGGGAAGAUACCUACCAUGUGCCAAGUGGUAUGAAAAGUAUAUGAAAUUAUUUAAAUCAAUAUUGAAUGUGAUCACCUUAUGAAGUCAGCACCAUGUUAAUUUUAGAGAUGUUAGAAUCCAAAAGCUCAAAGAGGUUAACUUACCCUAUAGCAUAGACCAGAGAUAAAUAUCAGUCCUUAUUAUGGGACUCAAAAGUCUAUGAAAAAUGACAGAACAUACAAACUAAUUAAUCACUAUUUAUCCAGCACAUCUCAAAUAUAAAGAGAAUCAUUUGGAUGCAGCCUAGUUUUUUUUUUUUUAAUGCAUAUCUGUUUUGGUAGAUAUAAGAAAUAUAUAAUAAAGUUGAGUUCUCAAUUAGUAGUGAUAUAUCUUUAUGUUACCCAAAC